GGAAACCGGGGCUAAUACCGGAUGGUUGUUUGAACCGCAUGGUUCAAACAUAAAAGGUGGCUUCGGCUACCACUUACAGAUGGACCCGCGGCGCAUUAGCUAGUUGGUGAGGUAACGGCUCACCAAGGCAACGAUGCGUAGCCGACCUGAGAGGGUGAUCGGCCACACUGGGACUGAGACACGGCCCAGACUCCUACGGGAGGCAGCAGUAGGGAAUCUUCCGCAAUGGACGAAAGUCUGACGGAGCAACGCCGCGUGAGUGAUGAAGGUUUUCGGAUCGUAAAGCUCUGUUGUUAGGGAAGAACAAGUACCGUUCGAAUAGGGCGGUACCUUGACGGUACCUAACCAGAAAGCCACGGCUAACUACGUGCCAGCAGCCGCGGUAAUACGUAGGUGGCAAGCGUUGUCCGGAAUUAUUGGGCGUAAAGGGCUCGCAGGCGGUUUCUUAAGUCUG
rnacentral:rRNA from 1 species